AAAAAAAAAAAAAAAAAACAAAACAAAAAAACACAAUAAACAAAAAUUGGAGAGAAAACAGUGCAAUGCAACGUUGACCGACGACGUUCCUGAAUAUACAUGAAAAGUAUUUUUAAUCUGGCAAUUUGGAUGCAGUCCAAUGCAUUAGCUAAAAACUACAGAAAACUAUCCAUUAGCCACUCAAUAAAAUAUAUAUAUAUACGUUUAGAAAUAUAUAUGUAUAUGCACGUAUAUAUAUGUAUAUAAUUAUACACUUACAUAAAAGUGUGAAUUAUACUUUAUCGUUAAGUUAUUUAAACUAAAUCAAGGUUCUUCAAAAAAACGAAAAAAUUAUAACGAAUUGCUGGCGGACCCAGUAAAUUUCUAAAAUCAAUCCCGUAUAAAUAAUUCAAAUAAACCAAAUCCGUGAACGGUAAUAGCUUUAAAAAAUUAUGCCAUUAUCAUAACCAUAUAAUAAUAAUAUGUCUGUUAAUUAUAUUUGAGCAGACACAGAGAAAGGACAAGCAAAACGCACGCUUUUCUCCAAUACGCAUCGACGCUUUGCCAGAUUUGCGAUCAACACAAAAUAAUCAAGAGAAAGCCAAGAAUCAGUUCAAGGCGUGCAACGACCAUCAACACCUAUCGACGAAGACCACGUCAAGGACAUAAAAGAUUUGAUGCUCGAAAAUUGUCAAUUGAAAAUUAGGGAUCUUGCUGAUGCUUUGGCAUUUCAUUUGGUUCAGUCAAAACGAUUUUAGAAAUCGUUGUUUGUUGUUCGUAUAUAAAAAAAAUGGGAAACAUUUCGCCAAUACAUUCCAUCCACGUCAUUUUACAGUCGGUAUAUUCGCCUUAACUAUUUGAUAAAAGCAUACUUUUAGAUGAAAAGUACCCGUUUUCCCAGGAAGCGUAAUUCUUAAGAUGAUAAAAUUUAAUAGGAAUUCGUGUUGCUUUAUUCACCGGCAAAGCUGGCGAUUACAAAAAAAGAUUCAGAACAACUUAUAGAUCAAUUUUCCUGUUUAACUAAGCCAAUCAUCUAGUGAAUAUCUUUUACACGUAACGCGGUAAGAAGUGGAGAAAGAUGUGAGGAGGGAAUGGCUGCUGCUUGGCAGAAAAAUCAAAGCCAAUAAGCGUUCACCUUUAUGCAUCUGCGUUUCGGUUCAUAUCGACCUAUCUAUCAAUUUGCUUAGAAAAUUUUCAUGAUAUGCCAGCAAAUAUUCACACUAUAUAUACAUAUACAUACAUAUAUAUAUAUAUAUAUAUAUAUAUAUACUACAAUGCACUCUCCAAGUAAAAGCUCGAAAUAUUCCGGAAACGGUAAAAAGAACUUUCGAUGAAAACAAGAUUCACGGUCAUCUCCAUGUGGAACAUCAUGUGCUAAUCGACAGCCCGGAAGUUUUACGCAACAAGCUAAUUAUUAGUUUUAGCUAACAUUAUCUAUAAAGGAUCAAAAGCUUAAGUGAACUUAAUUUGCUUGCUUUGACUAAAAUCAAUCCGAAUGAUAUACCGAAAGCAAGAAGAAAGGAAUUAAUGGCGGCUUUUAGAAUAAAAUUUUUCUUUUUUAGUGACUGAUAGUGAGUUGUUGCAUUAAUGCCAGAACAAGGUUAAUAUUAUAACAAGCAGUUAAUAGAUUCGUGAAAAAUUUCACGGCCUAUUACCAACAAAAAUCCAAAAAUAUUUUUUUAUACAUUCCUAUGGGGCUUUACUAAGCAUGAUAUGCGCCAUUCUGAUCAAUAACUUUUUGUCAUUUUUCUGCUUUCAUCGUAACGCCCUCCUUGUGUAGGCUUUGGGAUGCUUGGGACUAACACCCAAAAAAGCGCCUUUCACAGGUAUCCUUUGAAGUCAAUCUUUCGUCAGAACCCUGAACUGUGGGUAAGUAAAACGAGGUCUCACCUGUCGGGUGGGUGAACUGAAACUUUUCGGUCAAGUUUCCUCAAUUUGCUAUGAUGGGAAACGAUGACCUUCCUUUAGGACAACCGUGUAGACCCUUCUAGAUACUUUUGGCAAUCAUCGGGCCAGAUUGGACAUCAACCCGAGCUUGGUUACCAGUCGAGCAGUCUCAUCUAUCGUGCACUCCAACCUGACUUGCAACUUAUCGUAAUGCCUGACCUGCUUUGAUUCAAAACUGGCUCGAUUAUCUUUUUAUCCAUAAAGGAAUUCAAUUCAAUAAACAUAUCAAUGUUAAUUUGUAUGCUAUUGUGCUUCUCUUUGCAUUCGUUUUUUGUUCAAUGUUUAGUUCCGUAACGAGAUCGUAAGUUCAAUCGUGUCAAUCUCCCUCAAUUGCUUUGAAGAAUUUUAACGGGGAUUGGUCAGUCAAAGCCCGGAGCGUUUCAACCUUUGAAGAAAUUUUCAACCAUUUUCGUGUUAUUGGUUUCAAGAACGCAUCUUCGUCGCAAACACACAACGAUUAAUUGCAUAAGCCUGCGUCGCAUUACCUCUUUGAUUGAAGUGAUAUUAUGAAAUAAACUAAAUUUCUUCAAAAAGCCACACACUUCCAAUUCUAUUUAUGUACGGUUUUUUUUAUUUACCCACGCAUUGUCACCUUUGAGAAGCGCUAUAGUGUGGUUUGAUGUCUUGAUAGUAAAGCAAUGCAUAGUAUGCGACCGUCUUAGACCGUCCACUAAUGGAACGGUCGCGAGUUCUUUCCUUAGCUUACUAAAGAAAGCUAAUCAGAGAAUCGUGGAGAUACCAUUUACACUCUGUGCGUAUUACUAUACUUCGGCUUUUAAUCGGACUUUCGAAAACCAGCAAAUCAAGAAAUCUAACCUGGGAUUAUGGAACGUAUAUUCCAUAUAUUAAUAAUUCCUUCAUUAUUCAUUUUGCAUGUGUAAGUACACAGGCUGCAUGUUACACAUCAGAUAUCAUCGCAAGUCAGCAACUGAAGUGGUCUAGCGUAUGCGUGAAUGUCAACGAAAAUUCUCUUUACGCAUGCUUUUCUACUUAAUACACAAGUGAUGAAAAGCUUUUAUUAUUGAUAUGCGAAAAAAAAUUUGUUUUUGUCGUACUAUAUGCAUAGAAUUUCACAUGAAAGAUAUACAAUAAAAGAGCAAGAAAAAAAAAGCAAA